rnacentral:rRNA from 1 species
AUUGAACGCUGGCGGCAUGCCUUACACAUGCAAGUCGAACGGCAGCGGGGGAGAAGCUUGCUUUUCAUGCCGGCGAGUGGCGAACGGGUGAGUAAUACAUCGGAACGUGCCCUGUAGUGGGGGAUAACUAGUCGAAAGAUUAGCUAAUACCGCAUACGACCUGAGGGUGAAAGUGGGGGACCGCAAGGCCUCAUGCUAUAGGAGCGGCCGAUGUCUGAUUAGCUAGUUGGUGGGGUAAAGGUCUACCAAGGCGACGAUCAGUAGCUGGUCUGAGAGGACGAUCAGCCACCCUGGGACGGAGACACGGCCCAGACGCCUACGGGAGGCAGCAGUGGGGAAUUUUGGACAAUGGUCGAAGGCCUGAUCCAGCAAUGCCGCGUGUGAGGAGAAGGCCUUCGGGUUGUAAAGCACGUUUGUCCGAAAAAAAAUGGCUCUGGUUAAUACCUGGGGUCGAUGACGGUACCGGAAGAAUAAGUCCCGCCUAACUACGUGCCAGCAGCCGCCGUAA